rnacentral:pre_miRNA from 1 species
UCUCAUUUUAACCAUAAGUUUCUGUAUUUAAUUUUGAUUGUUCGUCAUAUUUUUUUUAAUUAGUAUUUUUGUUAGUGCUUUAUGCGUGACUUAUGUUUUUAAUUUUUUUUAAAUAAAACGGACGAUUAAAGUUUAGCAUGAAAAUUUAUGGCAGCACUUAAA